AAACCCCACUGCCCGGGACGAAGCUCCCUGU
rnacentral:sRNA from 1 species